GGGAGUGGCGGACGGCUGAGUAACACGUAGGAACCUACCCCUUUCUGGACCAUAGCUUGCCGAAAGGCGGGGUAAUAGUCCAUAGUUCCCGACUUAGUCGGGAUAAAGAGAGUAACUUCUUGGAAAGGGAUGGGCCUGCGUCUUAUCAUGGUAGUUGGUAGGGUAAAAGCCUACCAAGCCUAUAACGAGUAGCUGGUCUAAAAGGAUGGUCAGCCAGAGGGGGACUGAGAUACGGCCCCCACUCCUACGGGAGGCAGCAAUCAGGAAUAGUCGGCAAUGGACGAAAGUCUGACCGCGCGACGCCGCGUGUAAAAAGAAGCUCUAACGAGUGUAAACUACUGUAAUAAGGGAAGAAGAUCCGCCUUUGGCGGGUUUGACGGUACCUUAUUAGAAAGGGGCCGCUAACUGCGUGCCAGAAGCGUCGGUAAUACGUGGGCCCCAAACAUUAUCCGGUUUUACUGGGUGUAAAAAGUAGUGUAGGUGUCUAGUUAAGUUUUGCUUUAAAUACUAUAGCUUAACUAUAGGAAAGGGUAAAAUACUGACUGGAUAGAGUUAUUUUUAGGGAGAUUGGAACUCAAGGAGGAGUAGUGAAAUGCGUUGAUACCUUGGGGAACACCAGUGGCGAAAGCGAAUCUCUGAAAGAUAACUGACACUGAGACACGAAAGCUAGGGUAGCGAAGCAGAUUAUAGACCUGCGUAGUCCUAGCCUUAAACGCAUGCUUGCUAGCCGCACCUGUUUGUCUUCGGCAGGAUAGAUGUAACGAAAGUAACCCGUUAAGCAAGCUACCUGGGGAGUACGACCACAAGGUUAAAACU
rnacentral:rRNA from 1 species